AUCCCCAAACUCGGCCCUCCAGCUGUUUUGGGACUACAACUCCCAUCAUUCCUAGAUAACAGGACCAGUGGUCAGGGAUAAUGGGAAUUGUAGUCCCAAAACAGCUGGAAGGCCGAGUUUGGGAAU